AGCCUGUGGUUCCUGGCAUCCAGCUCCCAAGACCUUUGCAACUUUGAGAUGCUAGGAGCUCCACCUUGGAAUGUUCUAGAAAAGAGAAAGAAGGCCAAGGAAGUCACCAGAAGCCAGUGAUGUCAUCAAUCACACCUGUGUAAUGACUUCUGCAAAAAAGCCAAGAAGGACGGAAGUUUAGAGAGCCUUUAUGAAUGAAAACUUCAUUCACAUGCCAGGUGGUUGGUGUACCUAGCUAUAGACCCGUGGAAGAGGCUACACGCAAGACCCUCUCAGACUUUACUUUGUACAGCUCCUCAUCUGUCCAUUUGGGUCUACUUUUAUUAUGCCCUUUCUUAAUGAACUGAUCCCAUUCUAUUUCCACGAGCUCCCUGAUCCCGUGUCUUAACUAGGAAAAUCAAAUGACGUAUCUGGUAAGCCUGUGGGAAAAUAUGCUGGAUCUCCCAAACGUGAUAAGAAGCCAGUCAAAAUGACGGGUGUGAGAAACAACCA